rnacentral:rRNA from 1 species
GACAGAGGGUGCAAACGUUGUUCGGAAUUACUGGGCGUAAAGCGCGUGUAGGCGGUCUGCUAAGUCGGGUGUGAAAGCCCCGGGCUCAACCCGGGAAGUGCACUCGAAACUGGCAGGCUAGAGUGUCGGAGAGGUUGGUGGAAUUCUCGGUGUAGAGGUGAAAUUCGUAGAUAUCGAGAGGAACACCGGUGGCGAAGGCGGCCAACUGGACGAACACUGACGCUGAGACUCGAAAGCGUGGGGAGCAAACAGG